CCCAACAUCACCUCCGUCUACAAACCUCCUUACUUUUACCUGACAAUGUGAAACUUCAGAGAUGUCUUUCCCUGAACCCAGCCACUCUUCUGCCACUUCCCAAGGGGGGAAUCGUGCAUUACUGGUACAGCCUGGACAUCAACCCAGAGGUUCGAGCAGAUUUGCAGCUGCCUGCGCAUGCACCCCCACAUGAUGAACAAUCAGAGGCCCUACUUCAUUGUACCUUAUGGUUUAAGGACAUACCAGGCCCUGAUAUGAACUAUGAGGAAGAACUAUUCCAGCUCAAGGAAAUUCAAAUUACCCUGACUGACUUAUUCUGGG
rnacentral:lncRNA from 1 species